UGUCGUAACAAGGUUUCCGUAGGUGAACCUGCGGAAGGAUCAUUCACACGCAUCCAAUCGAUUCAUUGUGAACUUCCAAUGUGAGCUUUGUGUGGGGAUGGAAUCAUGUUGCAUCCUGAUGCAGUUGCUCGCGGGUAGUGGAUCAGUAUCGGACCGUCUUCCUUUUCUGAGAAACUACCAUUGUUUUGCUUGAUACUUCUUUGAUAUGUGUUUUCGCAGGCAACUGCUCAAGAAAUAUUAUACAACUUUCAGCGACGGAUGUCUCGGCUCGAACAACGAUGAAGGGCGCAGCGAAGUGUGAUAAGCAUUGUGAAUUGCAGAAUUCCGUGAACCAACAGGGAUUUGAACGUAUACUGCGCUUUCGGGAUAUCCCUGAAAGCAUGCCUGCUUCAGUGUCUACUGAUAUUUCUGCCACAGGAUUCACCAUCUUGGAUGGAUUUGUCUUGUGUGUGUUUCUGUGUGUCAAAACGCGCUCAUGCUUUUGACGCAUUUAAUGCAUAGAUUCAUGCAGCAGUAGACAACUUACGAAACACUUUGAUGUCAGUUGUUGUUUACUGCUUGUGUGUAAUCUUUGUCUGUUUCCUUGCUCAAGACAUGAAGUUAGGUCGGCAAACCCGCUGAAUUUAAGCAUAUAAGUAAGCGGAGGAUAAGAAACUAAAUAGGAUUCCCUUAGUAAUGGCGAAUGAACAGGGAUGAGCUCAGCUUGGAAAUCGGGGCCCUGUGGCCUUGAAUUGUAGUCUUGAGAUGCAUUGCCAACGGAGGCGCAGAUGUAAGCCUCUUGGAAAAGAGCUUCAAUGAGGGUGAGAGUCCCGUUUGUCAUCUGCAGUCCCCUGUGCACGGCGUGCGUUCUAAGAGUCACGUUCCUCGGGAUUGGAGCGCAAAUUGGGUGGUAAAUUUCAUCUAAAGCUAAAUAUUGGUUCGAGACCGAUAGCAGACAAGUACCAUGAGGGAAAAAUGAAAAGGACUUUGAAAAGAGAGUUAAAAGUGCCUGAAAUUGCUGAAAGGGAAGCGAAUGGAACCAGUUGACUUGGUGAGAUUGUCGCAUGCUAAUGUGAUGGCUUGCUGCUGCAGCGCAAGCGCAGCAGUGGGUUCUGAUCUGGACGUGUGUGGUGCUUCUUGCCUUGCGCGUCACCGUUGGUUCAAAUUUGAAGAAAACUCUUGGGACAUGGUAAUUCGCUUGCAGUGAAUGAAUGUGCCAGGCAGUAUUCAUUUUUAGACUAAUUCAUGCAUGUCUGGCUGAAGUGCUUGAGCUUUUUCUAGAACUUCUUCUGGGACCAGUUUAAGUAUCUUUCCUGACAUUAGAACGAUGACUAAAUGGUUUCAUUCGACCCGUCUUGAAACACGGACCAAGGAGUCUAACAUAUGUGCAAGUUCACGGGUGUUAAACCUGCUUGCGCAAUGAAAGUGACUGCUGGGAUACCUGCACCAGCAACCGACCAAUCAAUUGUGAGAGGUUUGAGUAUGAGCAUAUCUGUUAGGACCCGAAAGAUGGUGAACUAUGCGUGA
rnacentral:rRNA from 1 species